UACGUAGGGUGCGAGCGUUAAUCGGAAUUACUGGGCGUAAAGCGUGCGCAGGCGGUUUUGUAAGCCAGAUGUGAAAGCCCCGGGCUUAACCUGGGAAUGGCAUUUGGGACUGCAAGGCUGGAGUGUGGCAGAGGAGACUGGAAUUCCUGGUGUAGCAGUGAAAUGCGUAGAUAUCGGGAGGAACACCAGUGGCGAAGGCGAGUCCCUGGACAACUCCUGACACUGAGGCACGAAAGCUAGGGGAGCAAACAGG
rnacentral:rRNA from 1 species